GACGAACGCUGGCGGCGUGCUUAACACAUGCAAGUCGAACGGAAAGGCCUGCUUUCCCUUGUGGAUUGCGGGUACUCGAGUGGCGAACGGGUGAGUAACACGUGAGUGAUCUGCCCCCAACUUGGGUAUAAGCCUGGGAAACUGGGUCUAAUUCCCGAUAGGACUGCAGGGUGGUGCCUGUGGUGGAAAACGAUUUUCUAGUGGUUGGGGAUGAGCUCGCGGCCUAUCAGCUUGUUGGUGGGGUAAUGGCCUACCAAGGCGGCGACGGGUAGCCGGCCUGGGAGGGUGGACGGCCACAUUGGGACUGAGAUACGGCCCAGACUCCUACGGGAGGCAGCAGUGGGGAAUAGUGCACAAUGGGCGGAGGCCUGAUGCAGCGACGCCGCGUGGGGGAUGACGGCCUUCGGGUUGUAAACUCCUUUCGACCGCGAGGAAGCCACCUGGUUGGAAGGGUGGUGACGGUAGUGGUAGAAGAAGCACCGGCUAACUACGUG
rnacentral:rRNA from 1 species